GACGAACGCUGGCGGCGUGCUUAACACAUGCAAGUCGAACGAAGUGGCGAACGGGUGAGUAACGCGUAAUCAACCUGACCUUCAGAGGGGGACAACAGUUGGAAACGACUGCUAAUCCCGCAUACUGAAGGAGGGGAUUGCGUCUGAUCAGCUAGUUGGAGGGGUAACGGCCCACCAAGGCGAUGAUGAGUAGGCGGUCUGAAGGGAUUGACGCGCACCUUUGGACAGAGGCACGGCCCAGACUCCUACGGGGAGCAACAGUGGGGAAUCUUCCGCAAUGGACGAAAGUCUGACGGAGCAACGCCGCGUGAGGGAUGACGGCCUUCGGGUGGUAAAGCUCUGUUAAUCGGGACGCGGUACCGGAAUAGAAAGCCACGGCUAACUACGUGCCAGCAGCCGCGGUAAUUC
rnacentral:rRNA from 1 species